rnacentral:tRNA from 26 species
GCGGACGUGGCGGAAUUGGUAGACGCACCAGAUUUAGGUUCUGGCGCCGCAAGGUGUGAGAGUUCAAGUCUCUCCGUCCGCACCA